GUCCCACUAGCUCAGCGGUAGAGCAUUUCACUUUUAAUGAAGGGGUCCGGAGUUCGAUUCUCCGGUGGGACACCA
rnacentral:tRNA from 1 species